GUGGGGAAUCUUGCGCAAUGGGCGAAAGCCUGACGCAGCCAUGCCGCGUGAAUGAUGAAGGUCUUGGGAUUGUAAAAUUCUUUCACCGGGGACGAUAAUGACGGUACCCGGAGAAGAAGCCCCGGCUAACUUCGUGCCAGCAGCCGCGGUAAUACGAAGGGGGCUAGCGUUGCUCGGAAUUACUGGGCGUAAAGGGCGCGUAGGCGGACAGUUUAGUCAGAGGUGAAAGCCCAGGGCUCAACCUUGGAAUUGCCUUUGAUACUGGCUGUCUUGAGUACGUGAGAGGUGAGUGGAACUCCGAGUGUAGAGGUGAAAUUCGUAGAUAUUCGGAAGAACACCAGUGGCGAAGGCGACUCACUGGCCCGUUACUGACGCUGAGGCGCGAAAGCGUGGGGAGCAAACAGGAUUAGAUACCCCUGUAGUCC
rnacentral:rRNA from 1 species